GACGAACGCUGGCGGCGUGCUUAACACAUGCAAGUCGAGCGGUAAGGCCCUUUCGGGGGUACACGAGCGGCGAACGGGUGAGUAACACGUGGGUGACCUGCCCUCAGCUCUGGGAUAAGCCUGGGAAACCGGGUCUAAUACCGGAUAUGACUCCAUGACGCAUGUUGUGGGGUGGAAAGCCUUGUGCGGCUGAGGAUGGGCCCGCGGCCUAUCAGCUUGUUGGUGGGGUGAUGGCCUACCAAGGCGACGACGGGUAGCCGGCCUGAGAGGGCGACCGGCCACACUGGGACUGAGACACGGCCCAGACUCCUACGGGAGGCAGCAGUGGGGAAUCUUGCGCAAUGGGCGAAAGCCUGACGCAGCGACGCCGCGUGAGGGAUGACGGCCUCGGUUGUAA
rnacentral:rRNA from 1 species